rnacentral:rRNA from 1 species
UCGGGAAUUUUGGGCAAUGGGCGAAAGCCUGACCCAGCAACGCCGCGUGAAGGAUGAAGUAUUUCGGUAUGUAAACUUCGAAAGAAUAGGAAGAAUAAAUGACGGUACUAUUUAUAAGGUCCGGCUAACUACGUGCCAGCAGCCGCGGUAAUACGUAGGGACCAAGCGUUGUUCGGAUUUACUGGGCGUAAAGGGCGCGUAGGCGGCAAUUCAAGUCAUCUGUGAAAUCUCCGGGCUUAACUCGGAACGGUCAGAUGAUACUGCUUUGCUAGAGUGCAGAAGGGGCAAUCGGAAUUCUUGGUGUAGCGGUGAAAUGCGUAGAUAUCAAGAGGAACACCUGAGGCGAAGGCGGGUUGCUGGGCUGAUACUGACGCUGAGGCGCGAAAGCUAGGGUAGCAAACGGGAUUAGAUACCCAAGUAGUCCCUGAGCGGGCUGGCAAGGCGCAU